GAUCGAGAAUUUUUUUUCAUUAUUUGACAUUAUAAGUACCCAAAGAAGCUAUGCAUAUAAAAACCCGGAUACAAAUAGGUGUUUUGCGAAAUUGAGAGCAAUUUCAAAUCUGUUCAGUUUUUUUUGAUACACCCUGUAUAUAGCACUACAAUCUCAAUCAUGGCUUGUUAAAAGUAUAUACUGGUCAAAUACAGAGGCAACUUGUCUAAUGCAAUCUUGUAGAGGGACUGCGAGCAGUCCCUCUAUUUUAGCAAUCUUGUCCUGUGGACAAUUAAUCACGCAAAAUUUUCAUUUAGAAAUUUUGGUUUGGUUUGUGUCAUUUUCAUGAAAAUGGCGGCUACUUGUUAAAUGUUAUGAAUGCUUUGUAUACAGCCAAUUCAAAAAAGGUUGUCCUUUGCAAACCUUAAAGUGCCUAUAUCAUGGUUUUGGAGUUUGCAUAUCUCGAAAGUUUAGGGUAUUUUAAGACACUUUGCAA
rnacentral:lncRNA from 1 species